GCAGUGACGCGUUGUUCAGUGCAUACUUGACAUUCUUCCUGAAGCUUGCUUGAAAAAUCCAAUUAUCCAUCUGUGCGGUACACGACAUUGGAACCUCAAAGACAUCAAAAGUAGUUGAAUAACCCCACCUCCUAUGGCCUAGAUAUACAGUUUGUUGGCCAAGCCAAGGUGAAACACGAGUCGUGCACUGGGUGCGACUACGGGCCUCGUCCUUUACAAACAAAGACAUUGCACACCCGGGUUCCCUGUGUUUCCGAUUAAUAGCGCUACUUAUCGGACAAAUUAACGUCGGUGACAUUAAACAACGAAAUUCAUCGUCUGCUGAUAACUCUACAAAGGCUUGUCUAUCAGUUGGUACGGCUAGAAAUAGUGGAAGAGGAUAAAAUUGUUCACCUUGUGUGGCAUUGUCUAUAAGGCGCGGCAAACUGAUUUUUUUAUAGAGUGUAAAGCGAAAAGGAAACUCAAAAACAGGUAAAUGAAUAAAAAUUCUAAGACCAUUAUUAACCGCAGCCACGACUACUUUAGCUUCAGUGUACACCUUCCAGACAUCGCCCUUCUGAAUGGAUGGACUGAAGGACCAUCCUGACGGCAGCACAGAUUUAAUUUCUUUCAGGGCGGCUUGAACUUGCAGCGGGGGAAAAAGGGUAGCUGGUAGACGUUCCAUAGCCAUAGCAGCCAACCCAACGACAAAAUUAUCCAUCACCUCUUCGAUCCAUCCCACGGCGGACCCAAUUUGACGGAACGCAUCUCCAACUUUCGUGGUAGCAAUCCAUUGCCUUUCGAUCUCUUUCACCACCCAGUCCAUUUUGUUGUCCAUUUUCGAUGCCUCUCGUUCGAUUUUUGCAAAAGCCAUCUGUAGCUCGGCUACGGCGUCGCCACUUGCCUUAGUUUCCCACAGCGUCUCGUUAAUGAGAGAAGCAUGAACUUCCAGGGCAUGCACAAUGGAUGUUGUCUCCGUCGAAAGCUUAUUGAUCCGGCCGUUCACGUGUUCGAGAUCUUCUUGGGUAGAGACCCCAAAAAGCCAGUUAAGAAGUCGACCUCCUCCAUCCACUAGGCCACGUUUCACUCUGCACUCUUGCACACCGACGGCUGUUUUUAGUUCAUUCCAGCGCUGAUGAACCUUUUGCGCGUUCUUUCACAUGUUGUUGCAAUGCCUGUUUAAACUGUGACUUAACUCCGUCGUAGUGAUCGGACAUGGCAUUCACUCGAAUUUCUAA